rnacentral:rRNA from 1 species
CAGCCGCCACGGUAAUACAGAGGGUGCGAGCGUUAAUCGGAUUUACUGGGCGUAAAGCGUGCGUUGGCGGCUUUUUAAGUCGGAUGUGAAAUCCCUGAGCUUAACUUAGGAAUUGCAUUCGAUACUGGGAAGCUAGAGUAUGGGAGAGGAUGGUAGAAUUCCAGGUGUAGCGGUGAAAUGCGUAGAGAUCUGGAGGAAUACCGAUGGCGAAGGCAGCCAUCUGGCCUAAUACUGACGCUGAGGUACGAAAGCAUGGGGAGCAAACAGGAUUAGAUACCCCUGUAGUCCCUGUCUCUUAUAC